rfam:Lucilia cuprina strain LS Scaffold137, whole genome shotgun sequence.
AAAAUGAUGAUAUUAAUUGGUCCGUGUUUAUGAAUUUUAAUUGAUUUUAAACUCUCCAAUUACUGAUUUAA